rnacentral:tRNA from 1 species
UGGUAGACGCGCUAGCUUCAGGUGUUAGUGUUCUUACGGACGUGGGGGUUCAAGUCCCCCCCCUCGCACCA